rnacentral:rRNA from 1 species
AACUUUUAACAAUGGAUCUCUAGGCUCUCACAUCGAUGAAGAACACAGUGAAAUGUGAUAAGUAAUGUGAAUUGCAGAAUUCAGUGAAUCAUUGAAUCUUUGAACGCACCUUGCGCCUUUUGGUAAUCCAAGAGGUACACCUGUUUGAGUGUCA